ACGGGAGGCAGCAGUGGGGAAUAUUGGGCAAUGGGCGAAAGCCUGACCCAGCGACGCCGCGUGAGCGAAGAAGGUCUUCGGAUUGUAAAGCUCUGUUGACAGGGACGAAGAAGUGACGGUACCUGUCGAGGAAGCCACGGCUAACUACGUGCCAGCAGCCGCGGUAAUACGUAGGUGGCAAGCGUUAUCCGGAUUUACUGGGUGUAAAGGGAGCGUAGACGGCAUGGCAAGUCUGAUGUGAAAACCCGGGGCUCAACCCCGGGACUGCAUUGGAAACUGUCAAGCUGGAGUGCAGGAGAGGUAAGUGGAAUUCCUAGUGUAGCGGUGAAAUGCGUAGAUAUUAGGAGGAACACCAGAGGCGAAGGCGGCUUACUGGACUGUAACUGACGUUGAGGCUCGAAAGCGUGGGGAGCAAACAGGAUUAGAUACCCUGGUA
rnacentral:rRNA from 1 species